UACGUAGGGGGCAAGCGUUGUCCGGAAUCAUUGGGCGUAAAGAGCGUGUAGGCGGCCCGGUAAGUCCGCUGUGAAAGUCGGGGGCUCAACCCUCGGAUGCCGGUGGAUACUGUCGGGCUAGAGUGCGGGAGAGGCGAGUGGAAUUCCUGGUGUAGCGGUGAAAUGCGCAGAUAUCAGGAGGAACACCAAUUGCGAAGGCAGCUCGCUGGAACGUUACUGACGCUGAGACGCGAAAGCGUGGGGAGCAAACAGG
rnacentral:rRNA from 1 species